AGAGAGAAAAACAUAUUUUGGUCUCUGCCCCUGGUUCCUGGCACAGAGCUCCUGAAACCCUUGAAAUGCCUAAGUGAUAAGAGCGCUGGGUACACCUUUUGUUCUAAUGAGGCAGCUCUGGGUGGGGUCCUGGGCAGGGCUGGUCCUAGAAAGACCAAGCCGGAAUGAGAAGCCUGGAUUUUUCAGCCCCACUUUCCUAGAGAGGGAGAGGGGCUGGAAAUGGAGUUACUCAUUGGUUAUGCCUACGUGAUGAAGUCGCCAUAACCCCAAUCACGUGGGGCUCAGAGAGCUUCCGGGUUGGGCACCCGAGAGGGUGAUGCAGCCCUACUCCCUGGGGACAGACACUCCUGUGCUUGAGGCCCUCCCAGGCCUCGCCCUAUGGAUCUCUUCAUCCGGCCGUUCACCUGCGUCCUUUAUCACGUUCUUUAAUACGCUGGCAAACGUUUUCCCUGAGUUCUGGGGGCUGCUCUACAAAUUAAUUGAACCCAAGGAGGGGGUCAUGGGAAGCUCAGAUUCCCAACUGCCUGGUCAGGGGCACAGGUGACCACCUGGACUUGGGGACUGGCAUCCGAAUCUCUCCAGGAAGACAGGGUCAGAACUGAACUGAGUUAAAUUGUAGGGCACCAGGCAGGUGUCGCAGAAUUGCUUGGUGUGGGAAACCCCCCCAUCUGGUAUCAGAAGCAUGAGUGCGCGAGUCGUGCGUGAGUGUAGGAGACACCCAGGAGGAAGACUGGGUUUUCCUUCACACUGGUUUUGUCAUGUUCCCAUUUUACAGAUGAGAAAACACUCCGAGAGGUGAAGCCACUGUCUCCGGGCCAUGGGGAAGUAGGUAUGGAGGCACCCAGCCCGCUCCACCACCAGCCCUCUCACCCUCACAGCUCACACAGGCAGCCCUCCUGCUCCAGAGGAAGAACCUGAGGCCCCGAGGCGGCAAAUCAGUAGAAAAACAGAGACCCAGAAGAAGGAAAGGACUUGCCCAAGGUCACGCAGACGAAGUGCAGGAAUAGGGUUUUAUGCCGCAGCUUUGAAAGGAUCCCAUUGGGAGAGGAAGACUGGGUCGUACACUUGUUUGCUGAGGACACUUACAAAACCCUCAAGGCUAAGCCAAGUGAGGCAAGUAACUGAAACUAAAGAUGGAGAAUUUAACCAAAUAAUCCACUAAACCAGGCUUGACCACAUAAAAAUGAAAAAUGUCUGUACAGCAAAAUAUACCAGGAGCACACUUGAAAG